UCCAACAGCUUCUGCGUUACCUUUUUCAUCAGAGUCGUGAGAGUUCUGUAUCUGUUGAUCCCCAUCUCCUUCAGCAUAAGAGGAGAAGCUAGCUAAAGGGUGGACGAGUUUGAGAGGAAGAGAGGUGUGUUUCUGUGGAGAAAGGAAUAGGGCACUGUUCUUCUUGAAGAGAGGAGAAUCCUUGGGAGAGAAGCAACCGAGAGCUGAUCUAGGUACGCAGAGGUGAGAAGUCUUGAGUAGAAGAGAGUGGUUCCUAACCGAAGAGAGUCCAUAAGGAAGAGUCAUGCCUGGGAAGAGGAUGUGUGGGAAUCAAGAAGAGAAAAUGAGAUAUGAGAAUCUACAAAGAUUGGGAUAUGGUUAUGGAUGAUGAAGAAGAUGAUGGUGAUGUUGAGGAUGAUGAAAAUGGUGUUGCAUAAUGGGAAUUUGAUUUCAGGAGACUAGAGAGAAGGUUGGUUGGUAGUGGUGGCGGCCAGGGAACGUGAGGUGGAGGUGAGAGGAUUGAGUUUGGAUGAUUCUUUGUGUUAGCGUCAAGCGUUAUGAAUUUGUGUGGUUCUUGUUAAGUGAGAGGGAGGCUCUUUAGUUAGGCUUCAGGACAUCACAAAUGCCCACUAAAAGUCUAAAAGGAUGUAAAAAAAGUUUGGAAUUUUUGUUCUUUGGACGUAGUAAUGAGUUGCUCAAAAAAAAAAGGAUGUAGUAAUGAAAGAAUAGAAUUAGGUGGCAUUUCUUAUUAGAUUUUAUAUAAACGUGGCACAUUUUUUUUUUACAAAUGCCUACCAUCUUGUUUUUUUUUUUUUUGAUCAGCUCCUACCAUCUUGUUUGACCUUGAAAAUAAAGAGUUUCAGAUUUUAGUUUAGUGAUGUACUUAUACAAAAAGACUAGGAUAAGACCCGCGCCUUGCGCAGGAUUAAGUUAUUAUUUUUAUUAUAUUUUGGAGAAUGAAACAAUAGUUUGACUUCAUUUGGAUUACGGAUGUUCAAUCCGGAUAUCGGGUUGGUUUCGGUUCGGUUCGGUUUUUUUCGGUAUUUGGUUAGUAAAAUAUAACUACUAUUCUAAAUCCAUAUUUACUUUGACUUUAAUCUUUCACAUACUUUUGAAAGAUUUCAACUGGAUGACUAAAUUGAUCAGCCAAUCUUGUUGCUUUAAAUCAUUAGUGUUUAUAUAUAUAUAUAUUAUUUAGUUUGAAUAUUUAUUAAAUAAAAAUUCAUAUGCGUUAUAUUUUAUGAUCAUUUGUAACUUAUUAUAACAAAAAAAUAAUCUAUUGAUCACAAAAUUUUCNNNNNNNNNNNNNNNNNNNNNNNNNNNNNNNNNNNNNNNNNNNNNNNNNNNNNNNNNNNNNNNNNNNNNNNNNNNNNNNNNNNNNNNNNNNNNNNNNNAAAAAAAAAAAAAAACAUAAACUCACAAGACAAACGACAAGAGCUUGGUGAAAACCCAAGUGUAGAUUACAGCAAGUGUACCUCCGACAGGAAUCGUAACGAGCCACGAAGCAACGAUCUCUUUAACCGUCUCCGCCCUCACGCUGUUAAGCCCCCUAGCAAAACCAACUCCCAUCACAGCUCCAACGAGCGUAUGAGUCGCCGAUAUCGGAAGCCCUAACUUGGAAGCAAACAAAACCACCGACGCCGCCGCGAACUCCGCAGCAAACCCUCUCGUCGGUGUAAGCUCAGUGAUCUUCUUCCCUAUCGUUGCAAUCACUCUGUAUCCCCACAUGGUGAGACCAGCAACGAUACCGAACCCUCCCCACGCGAGAACGUCCAUGGGGAUCACGAUAUCUCCUCCUCCUCCCGCAGCUCCUCUUUGGAGGAUGCUCAACGCGGCGGCUAAAGGUCCGAUGGCGUUGGAGACGUCGCUGCCUCCGUGAGCGAAGGACAUGAAGCAGGCGGAGAGGACUUGCAUGUAGCCGAAGACUCCGUAGACUAUCUCGAGUUGAGUAUCUGUAGGACCUGCGAUCUCGGAGAGAAAACCGAUGCUUUUGGGCUGGUUCUGCGGUGUGUCUUGUGGUUUGGUUUUGGCGAGAAGGUGGCCGAGCUUGUCCCGGAUGAUUCUGUCGAAGAUUAUGGCUCCUGCUGCUCCACAGGCUAAGGCUUGGGAUAGAGCUAUGGGGAAGAUCUUGCUCAGAGGAAACGCGGCGAAAGAAAUGCUGGCGACGCCUAUGAACACGGCGACAGGAGCUGCUGUUGCCGCCGCUUGUCCCGGGUUUGGUGCACUGUAAACAAACUGCAAAGGACAGAAGCUUAAGCAUGUAAAAAAGAGAAUGGCUCGAAAGGAACAGACCGCUCUGAUACCUUAUAGAAUAGAAGGCAUGUAUUAUAGUUACAAAAUAUAUAGUGAUUAAAUAAUACCAAUCUAUUCUUUACAUAUAUACUCCCUCCAUUUCAAUAUAGAUGAUGUUUUAGAGGAAGUAUUUUGUUUUAAUUUACAUGAAGUUUUGAGGUUUAAGAUUAAUUUUAACUUUAGUGAAAACUGUUUAACCAAUUAGAUUUUACAGUUUUUUUUUAUAAUUGGUUAAAUAAUUUUAAAAUUAUAUUUUUACAAAUAUUUUUUUUUUAAAUGCAAGUGUCUUAAUCUUUGUAAACAAAAGUAAAACAUCAAGCAAGUAUUAUGAAACGGAAGGAGUAUACUCUACUCAAAGUUUGGUUGUUGAGAUUGAUUUGUUUUGUUUUACUUACUCUUCUGAUGCAUUUGUAAACAAGAAAGGAGACUAAAGCUCCCAUUAGAGGAGAGAUGACCCAAGAUGAAGCCACUUUAGCUAAAGAACUCCAGAAAACCGCACCAGCUCCACCGUAGACCAGUCCAAACCCAACCAUUGAUCCGACGAUACAGUGAGUUGUAGAUACUGGCCAUCCAAAGUAAGAAGCCACCUGUGAAAAUUCACGAUUACACAAUCGUUUUCAGCAUUAGGUUCUCUACUUAUAUCGUUCAGCAUAGUUGUUUUAAGACACUGCUUCUGUACUUGUAUCGUUUGUCAUUGCCAUCCUCAAAUGUAUUAAACAAUCUUCUAAUAAUCGGUCUAAACGUCUAGACGGCAAAUCGGUCAUAAGGAAACGAUUUAUCUAAACUGAUUUUUUUUGCCUAAGCACUAAUCUCAUAUAAAGUGUAGAAUUACCGCCUAUUGAUUUCUUGAACAUUGGUAUUAAAUUUACUAAAUAUUUUUCUAGAAACUAGUGAGGAAGAAGCAAAAGAUAAGAUGAGAACCUGUAACCAAGUUCCAGCUGCAGCCAAGGAAGAGAGGAGACCAGCAAAGAGCAACAUAUCUUUCCCUUGGAACACAUUAGCCAUGAGGAUCCCUUUCUGCAUCGUGCUAGUCACGUGAGUUCCCAUCAAAAGAGCACCUGAGAACUCAAGAACCGCAGCAGUAAUCACAGCUUGACGGAUGGUAAGGGCUCCGGAACCAACAGAAGUCCCCAUGGCAUUGGCCACAUCAUUAGCUCCGAUGUUCCACGCCAUGUAGAAACCGAAGAGUAGUGUGGCGUAAGAGAGGAGUUUGGUCUUGAGAGCGAGUCCUUGUCCCAGGGAUUUCAUGAAGAGUGGCAAGGAGAGAGCAGAGAAGGCGAUGACUAUGGUGAUUGCCCUCGCUGUCUUGGAUGAAAUGUGAAAGGCAUUAGCCAUUCCAGAGAAGUCUCCAACAGCUUCUGCGUUACCUUUUUCAUCAGAGUCGUGAGAGUUCUGUAUCUGUUGAUCCCCAUCUCCUUCAGCAUAAGAGGAGAAGCUAGCUAAAGGGUGGACGAGUUUGAGAGGAAGAGAGGUGUGUUUCUGUGGAGAAAGGAAUAGGGCACUGUUCUUUUUGAAGAGAGGAGAUUCCUUGGGUGAGAAGCGACCGAGAGCUGAUCUAGGUACGCAGAGGUGAGAAGUCUUGAGUAGAAGAGAGUGGUUCCUAACCGAAGAGAGUCCAUAAGGAAGAGUCAUGCCUGGGAAGAGGAUGUGUGGGAAUCAAGAAGAGAAAAUGAGAUAUGAGAAUCUACAAAGAUUGGGAUAUGGUUAUGGAUGAUGAAGAAGAUGAUGGUGAUGUUGAGGAUGAUGAAAAUGGUGUUGCAUAAUGGGAAUUUGAUUUCAGGAGACUAGAGAGAAGGUUGGUUGGUAGUGGUGGCGGCCAGGGAACGUGAGGUGGAGGUGAGAGGAUUGAGUUUGGAUGAUUCUUUGUGUUAGCGUCAAGCGUUAUGAAUUUGUGUGGUUCUUGUUAAGUGAGAGGGAGGCUCUUUAGUUAGGCUUCAGGACAUCACAAAUGCCCACUAAAAGGAUGUAAAAAAAGUUAGGAAUUUUUGUU
rnacentral:lncRNA from 1 species